rnacentral:rRNA from 1 species
GACGAACGCUGGCGGCGUGCCUAAUACAUGCAAGUCGAGCGAAGUUUUUCUGGUGCUUGCACCGGAAAAACUUAGCGGCGAACGGGUGAGUAACACGUAAAGAACCUGCCUCAUAGACUGGGACAACUAUUGGAAACGAUAGCUAAUACCGGAUAACAGUAUUAACUGCAUGGUUGAUGUUUGAAAGUUGGUUUUGCUAACACUAUGAGAUGGCUUUGCGGUGCAUAAGCUAGUUGGUGGGGUAAAGGCCUACCAAGGCGACGAUGCAUAGCCGACCUGAGAGGGUGAUCGGCCACACUGGGACUGAGACACGGCCCAGACUCCUACGGGAGGCAGCAGUAGGGAAUCUUCCGCAAUGGGCGAAAGCCUGACGGAGCAACGCCGCGUGAGUGAAGAAGGAUUUCGGUUCGUAAAGCUCUGUUGUUAGGGAAGAAUGAUUAUGUCGUAACUAUACAUAGUAGAGACGGUACUAACCAGAAAGCC